GGUAAAUCCACACACACAUCAGCUGAAACUUUGUGAUUUUUGGAGUGCAAAAGUCUUGAGUGAGCCAGACAGAAUUGUUGGGGUGCUAUUGCAGCCUGGGGGAUAUCUCAAAUUGAUUGAGUUGGGUCUUGAAGAUUGAUGCCCAGAAAGUGUUUGGUUAUGCUCUUUACAAAGAUGGGAAGGAUACAACACUGUCUUAUCCCUUGGAGGCUUGGAGGCAUCUGCUCAUAUGGACCAGUUUCUCUUCUCUCUGGUCUUAACCCUCGUCCAUUACACUUGUUUCUCCAUUUCUUUGCAGCUGCCAUCUAUGGUGUUGGCCGCUUAAUGCUUCCGUUCCCUUCACCUAAACGCAUGUGGCUUGGGUUUCUAUUGAUCUUGAGUGCAUCACACAUCAUAUUCAGUCUCUUAAGCAAUCAAAUGAAACACUAUGUCAUGCUAAAUAAAGUUUAGGGUCAACCACUGAUUUAAUCAUAUGGUAUAUCACUCCUAGAGGUAACUAAAACGUAAGGAAUAAUUGAGCUUAUGGUAACUGGAUUGUUCAUUGGAAGAUACUGGACUGUUCAUGCUAAUGGUAACUGCAGCGCGUGCAAUUAUUUUGGUACAUUCAGGAUUAACAAGUGCCAAUUUGGUUGUCUCCAACCGACUCAACAAUGGUAUCAUGUUCCUCGGUUUUGGCUCAAGCCAUCCCAAAAUUUGUUGGUGGUAUUUGAGGAGCUUGCUGGCGAUGUUACAAAGAUUGAUCUUCUGAAAGUCACCCACGUGUUGAGAAAUGGCAGACCAAGAACCGAGGCAAACUGAAGGAGCAAAAGAAGCCUAAACUUCGUCUAGAGUGUACAAAUGAGCAAUCCAUUUCUACUAUUAAAUUUUCAAGCUUCGGUACUCCACCUAGAAGCUAUGGGAACUGUAACCAUGGUACCUGUCACGCUCGAAACUCUAC